UACGUAGGGGGCUAGCGUUGUCCGGAAUCAUUGGGCGUAAAGCGCGUGUAGGCGGCCAGGUAGGUCUGGUGUGAAAACUCGAGGCUUAACCUCGAGAUGUCAUCGGAAACCAUCUGGCUAGAGUCCGGAAGAGGAGAGUGGAAUUCCUGGUGUAGCGGUGAAAUGCGCAGAUAUCAGGAAGAACACCAAUGGCGAAAGCAGCUCUCUGGGACGGUACUGACGCUGAGACGCGAAAGCGUGGGGAGCGAACAGG
rnacentral:rRNA from 1 species